AUUAUUGCUUGUACAGUACUUUGGUGUAAAUACUUCCAAAUCUUUGCCCUCUCUUUGGCCUGGUGAUAUCCCUGACCGCACUCCUUCAGUUUCACACGUAAGUGAACUGCCACUCAGGGCCAACCAGACAUGACUUUAAUUGCAUUUCCCCCAAGUCUCGUCCCCCCUAAAUACAGUCAUGGGAGAGGGCCAAUCAGGAUCAGGCUUGGGGCACAUGGAAAAAGAGGGCUGAACCCUUUCUACCCCACUGUAGUUCUGAUGACAAUCCUGCCUCCAUCUGAAGAAUACCCUCCAACAUUUCUCCAAACCACAGAGCCUAGGACUUACCGAUCAGAAGAUCGGCAGUUCAAAUCCCCGUGACGGGGUGAUCUCCCGUUGCUCGGUCCCUGCUCCUGCCAACCUAGCAGUUCGGAAGCACGUCAAGGUGCAAGUAGAUAAAUAGGUACUGCUCCGGCAGGAAGGUAAACGACGUUUCUGUUUUGAAGGAAGCAGGGGGGUUUCUGUUAAGUUGUGGGUGAACAUAUCAGACAACACAGCGAUUCUUCAAAUUGCUCUUGUUUAUUCACAGGCCAGAACAGAACUGAACUGAAGGGUUCAGCCAGCCUGCUUAUAUAGAGCUCCACUAGAACGCAACAGUAACCAUUUUCUGUAACUAUCCAAUCACUGAACGUCACUUUCAAUCCCUUAUUUGCAUAUGUGGACCUGAGUGAAAACUACAGUAUCCCCCUGCUGGCCCAGGGUGAGAACUUCAGUACAUAACAGUUUCAAAGUGGGAGAAAAAAGAAUAUGGGCUGGUCAAGCCAGAUUCACUUAAGGGCUGCUCCACAUGACCUGCCUUGUAAUCAUUUAUGCUGAUUUGCUUGCACAGACCUAACAUGGAGGUUAGACCAUGUCUGUUCUGUAUUGAGCAUUAGUCAUGAUUGGUUUAUGGGAAGGUUAUAAAAAAAUGAGCAAUCACCUUGAAUUUAUCCUUAUUUGCUUGCUUAUUUGUUUAUGUAUCUUCCCGGGGGGGGGGGGGGUUCAGCCAGAACUCACCGGAACUCAGUUUUUGCACCUCUCAGGUGGGCACCAUUGCCAUUAUAAGAGAACAAGGGAGGUGUUCAUGGAGAAUUCUGGCAUCUCUUUUUCUAGAGAAAUAGCACUGCAUCUUCCUGUUAGUCAUUUGCCUAACCCAUACUUUUCAGUGCAUUAUCUUGCUGCUUUCCUAACUGCCAAACUUUCCAGAAAGCUAUGCUUUAAGCAACUUAACAAAAUAUGUUCUUGCAUAGGUCUGUAGUAGGGUUGGGGUGAUAGGUGUAAGUGCAGUUGAAAUGGGAGCAAAGCAAGGGCUGAGAAAGACUGGGAUCGUGGUGCAGACAUUUUAAAAGAUGACUCCAGUCUUGCACAUAUAGUCCAAUAAUUGUGUCUGUCAAACGCAUGCAACAUUCCUCUGCUAAAAAUAAAUACCGCUUAGAAACCAAGUUUCUACUAUAGAAAAUGAGACCCUACCUUAAAUAUUACAGUGCUUCAAAUUUACCUCUUCUCUAUCAAUCAGUUUUGUAGCAAAAUAACUUUUAGGGGGGGGAUUUCAAUUAGUUUUUAAAUAUAGAGAGAAAGAACCCUACCUUAAAUCACCUGAUUGCAUUUCUUUGGCUUGUUUGCUCUCCUGCAUUUCAAGGGAGUUUACUUCUGCUCUGCUGAGUAAAAAUGCUGGAGGAAAUAAAGGUGUGCAAUUUAUUUUGCAGAAAGCUCAUCUAUCCAUAAAGUCCAGCUCCUCAUUGAAUUACAGUGGUACCUCGGUUAAGAACUUAAUUCGUUCUGGAGGUCUUAACCUGAAACUGUUCUUAACCUGAAGCACCACUUUAACUAAUGGGGCCCCACACUGCUGCCUCACCACGAUUUCUGUUCUCAUCCUGAAGCAAAGUUCUUAACCCGAGGUACUAUUUUUGGGUUAGCGGAGUCUGUAACCUGAAGCGUCUCUAACCUGAGGUACCACUGUAUCUUGGACUGUGAAAAUGGUGUGAAAUACAACUGUUUUCUUCCUGCCACAUGCCUUGUUUAUUGUUUCAUGUAUAUAAAGCUUACCUGACAACCUUUCCAAUUAAGUACUAAGUCAACUUUCCUGUGGCACCAACUGUAAAAUACCUGAGCUUCUGCCUCCAGCAUGAAAUUAGACUAAAUUCAUGGUUUGAACAAGACAAAAAAAAAUAAAAGUCAAUGGCUAGAAUCGGGUUAUAUCCUUUUGUGCUGCUGUUUAGAUUCUAUGAAAUUGCUAUUGUGGAUUUUAUUGUUAUGAGCCAUCAGUGACAAUUGAAGGCAAAAGGCAGGAUAGAAACAUUUUAAACAUACAAUCCCAAAGCCACCUUUUCAGCCACAAUUGUAGUAUCCGACUCUGACCGUGAACAAGGGCUUCAGGACAACUUGUAAUAUCACAAUGAUCUGAUUAUUUCAAGAAGUGUCAUAGCACAUCCAGCUACUGCUAAUUUUGGGGACAUUAAAACAAUUUUUAAAAGACUGGACUGUAUCCUGAUUGUGGGCACCCUGUGCAUACCUGGAGUGCUGACUCACUUCCAAAUAGCCCCUGCACUUUGCCCAGACUGCCAACAAGUGAGUCUGCAACUUCCUCCUUGGAAAAUGUGUCAUCUAUUAUUGACCUUUCAGAGGAGCACAGCUAAGGAAAUUGCUCGUAGCUAGUUCCCUCUCAUGACCACAAGUCAGCAGUUUUUCCACUGCCCUCAGUCUAACAUAAGGAAUUAAGCAAAAACAAAACGGUUCUCCAAAGUAUAUUUCAAAUAUGCAAUACACACUGCCUACCAACCUUUUAACCUGGCAGAUUAUGGAAGGAUCAGUCAUUCAGCACAUGGGUGAGGCAAAGUAAUUAGGACACCAAGGGUCUUAUUGAAACUAAUCAUAGAUAUGUAGUCCUGUUAUUGGGGGGAAAAAAACAGAUUGCUAAUGUCUUUUUGUUAUUACACUACACAGCAACUCUGAUUUUCAGAGUAGCAACCCUGCAUGUUAUAUUUCUAUAAUAUAAUACACUCCUUAAGGCAUUCUUGCUUAUGCUUUCUGCUGGCUGCAGAAGCCUUUGCCUGUCCCAUAAACAUUUAUUUUUUUUGAAACGGAGAGCAUAUUGGUUGUGCAAGGGAACUUCCCACCUUUCCUCCCCCUGUGCCCUGAAUCCAAUUAUGGCCCUCUUCAGGUAUUACCUUUCUGGGUUCAGAAAACAUGCAAGGGUUGUGUGGCAAACAUACCAGCUGUGCCAGACUCCAUAACUGUCUCUGCUGCUCUCCAUUUGAAGGCCAGCUGUGUGGAGCAGACAGCUUGCUUGGAGCUUGGAGCUCCCAAUCUAUUUUGCAAGCCUGGAAAACAAAGUUCUAAAACAUGCAGGUGUCACACACAGAUAUGGAAGGCUCUCCUGUUCACACAGAUGUCCUCUGUGAGUUGGACAGCAAUGGAACAAUUUGGUUCAUGAAUGAACCCAGAAGGUAACAACCGAAGGGGGAAGUCUUCGUCGUUUUGCAGGGGUAGAGUAAAUGCAGGUCAAUUUCAAGCUUGGAUAGAAGCAUUUAUCCACCGCUGGAAGCUGUGUGGCAACAGGUCUUCUUUCCUCUCUUCUCCCCUCAGGGCAAGAUGGUCUCUCAAAAGGCCUAUUCACGUUGUCAAAAUCGUCAGUUGUCAAAAACAAGAUCCCUAAUUGGCAUUGCUCUGAGUGAGAUGACUUGGGACCAACUUAAAGCAAACAGUUUGUUCAAGAUAAGGAUGCAACGAAUGCAGACCUUCUGCAAAAGCUUUAGUGAGACAGGGUUGUCUUGGUUGUAUGUAACCAUGUAAGCUGCCUCUCAAUGAAUUCCACACCGCCACCCAAGUGCUCGGUUUGCUUCAGAUAAAUCUUGUUUGCUAAACUAUUUUUCUUAAUUCUCCAAAGUAGUUGUGAAGGCUGACCAACUGUGAAAACAAAGAAAUAAAGAAAUAGCUGUUCUGCAGUAAUGUACUCUGUCAAAGAAAUCAAUAAGAAACAGGUCACUGGAGACUGAAAUACUGAGCAAAAAACAAAAAAUAGAGCAUCACGGAGCAUCUCAGCAGAUGGAAUUCUUCCAUGAGAACCAGUCCUUUGAAUUUACCCAGUGCCAGAUUUACGUAUAAGCUAAACAAGCUAAACCUCAGGGCCCCACUCUCUUGGGGGCCCCCAAAUUUUUUAAAAGAAAAACAAAACCUGGAUGUACAUUUCCAAAAUAUAAGAUAAAGAACAAAUAAAACCUACAUACAGCAACAGUGGCAAAGGGCUUUAGAUACCUAUUAGGUCCAUAAAUUACCAUAUAGCAUAUGUUCAACACAAAAAACAGUGACCAUUUGUUGUUGACAAAGGAUAGCUGGACAUAUAAAGGGCCUCAUUACCUUCAGUAGCUUAGGGCCUCAUCAAACCUAAACCAGGCCCUGGAUUUACCUAAUACAUUUUAAUUUUUGCAUUUCAGCAGCUGACAUUAGACACAAAUAAGAAAUUGCCAUGACAAACUAUAUCUUAUUCUCAAUUGUUUCUUAUUAUUUGUCAAAGAAGAAGAAAUAAUAAUGGAUUAGAAUUUCAGAGUGGGCUUCCUAUUACUGAGGUUCCCUCAUGAUGUGGAUGAAAUAUAAUUUGUAGGGGGAAAUCAGCAAGUCGGAGAGGGUGCUUAACACUUGCACACCAGUUUUUAAUCCCGCUCUGCUACACACCCACCCACACCUAGCUGUGCUCUGGACAUAAGCCUCAACAGGUAAAAACAGCCAGAGGUAAUUUGCAGGGAAUGACAACUGUGUGCAGGAAUGUUCCGGAACCUCUUCUUAUAGCCAGGCAUCAUUGCUCAGGAUAUUCUCUCUCAUUCUUCUGCCCUGCUGCGGUUAGACAGACAUUGCAGGUUUAACAAGGACCACCAACAACAACCGCUACAAAGUUAAGUUUAUCAGUAACAGCAGUGAAACUUUUGUACAUAUUAAAAAUAUUUUUUAUUUGGCUUUAUGGGCUGAAUGUCCCGUUUCACGUAGGAAGGAUCUGCCAAGGUCAAGCAAAAACAGGGAUGAAGGGAAAGCAGAUGGUUGCAAUUUAGUGGCCUUGCUGUCCUGCUGUUCUUCCGCCACAGUUUAAUCAUGACAAUUCGUUAGAAUUUGACAUUUGGUCCUGGUCAGAUUAGUUGAGUUGAGCAGCCACAAUUCAGGAUAAAAAUAUCAGAAAGCCAGACUGUUUCCUCCUUGUGGUUUGCACUCACAGAGGACUUUCUAGGAUACGGUGUGUGCCUCAAUUCAUUUUGUCCUGCUUUAUGUUACCAUGGGCUGGGCUCCUCUCAUUUCCAAACAGAGUGAGAAAUCUGUUACUUUGCUUUCUUUUGCAGGCAUAGUUCUGGAAAAAACGUGUGAGAUAGCUGCGCCAAGAAGGUGAAAACUGUGGUCAGGAAAAACAUGUGAUGCUCCACUCCACUAGAACUGAGUGCUACAACAGCAGUGGGAAAGAGCAGUGUGAGCAGAUAAGUUGUGGGGCGAAAGAUUGGUAUGGGGUGCCCCAAGCCUCGGGUCUUUUGCAGCAUGCACUAAAUUUCUUGCUCCUU